AGAGAGAGACAUGCGCGCAUAUCAAUAAGCGGAGGAAAAGAAACUAACAAGGAUUCCCUUAGUAACGGCGAGUGAAGCGGGAAGAGCUCAAAUUUGAAAUCUUCAAGGUUUUACCUUGACGAAUUGUAGUUUAAAGAAGUGUUUUCUGCUGAAGUUUUGGUAAAAGUUCUUUGGAAUAGGACAUCAUAGAGGGUGAGAAUCCCGUAUUUGACCAUUAUUUUCAGCUUUGUGAUACACUUUCAAAGAGUCGGAUUGUUUGGGAAUGCAGUCCAAAAUGGGUGGUAAAUUUCAUCUAAAGCUAAAUAUUGGCGAGAGACCGAUAGCGAACAAGUACCGUGAGGGAAAGAUGAAAAGAACUUUGAAAAGAGAGUUAAACAGGUACGUGAAAUUGUCAAAAGGGAAGCGUUUGACACCAGUGUUGUUUUCUCGAAAAUCAAUUAAAAAUGGCUCGAUUUUGUAUUGUUGAGACCUUAAAAGCUCACUGUACAUUUUUCGUGUCUUUUUUAAUGCACUUUUCGUUUAACAAGUCAACAUCAGUUUCUUUUGUUGUAAAAGGGUCAUUGGAAGGUGGCUUUCUUUUCGGAGAAAGUGUUUAUAGCCUUUGGCCUCUGCAAUCGGAGAGACUGAGGUCUGCAGCGUAGACUCUUCGGGGUUAGAUACAUUUGUGCUAAGUUAUAGCUUUUUAUAGACAACUUGUUGACUAUAAUUAGUCUUGUAGCUUACUCGCUUAUGCUAUUUUACCUACGCUUAGGAUGUUGAAGAUGUAGCACAUCAU
rnacentral:rRNA from 1 species